AACCAGCUCUUCAAGUGGUCGGGAUAAUUAUUGGGCUUAAAGUGUCCGUAGCCGGUUUAGUAAGUUCCUGGUAAAAUCGGGUAGCUUAACUAUCUGUAUGCUAGGAAUACUACUAUACUAGAGGGCGGGAGAGGUCUGAGGUACUACAGGGGUAGGGGUGAAAUCUUAUAAUCCUUGUAGGACCACCAGUGGCGAAGGCGUCAGACUGGAACGCGCCUGACGGUGAGGGACGAAAGCCAGGGGAGCGAACCGGAUUAGAUACCCGGGUAGUCCUGGCCGUAAACGAUGCAUACUAGGUGAUGGUACGGCCAUGAGCCGUAUCAGUGCCGUAGGGAAACCGUUAAGUGUGCCGCCUGGGAAGUACGGUCGCAAGGCUAAAACUUAAAGGAAUUGGCGGGGAGCACCACAAGGGGUGAAGCCUGCGGCUC
rnacentral:rRNA from 1 species